AUACGGAGGGUGCAAGCGUUAAUCGGAAUUACUGGGCGUAAAGAGUACGUAGGUGGUUUAUUAAGUCAGAUGUGAAAGCCCCGGGCUUAACCUGGGAACUGCAUUCGAAACUGAUUGACUAGAGUAUGGUAGAGGGUAGUGGAAUUCCUAGUGUAGCGGUGAAAUGCGUAGAUAUUAGGAGGAACAUCAGUGGCGAAGGCGACUACCUGGACCAAUACUGACGCUGAGGUGCGAAAGCGUGGGGAGCAAACAGGAUUAGAAACCCGGGUAGUCC
rnacentral:rRNA from 1 species